CCUGCAUGGAGCUGGUCUACAAAGAACCCACUCAGUGGGGCCAGAGCUGCAUAAGGGCAUCAGGCAAGCAGGCCCCACGGAGCAGAGGAGCAGGGAUCAUUGCAAGGAUGCAGAGACCACUGUGAAGGGUGCUAAAUUGGACUCUACUUUGUGGACAUACCAUAUUUGCAUCCUCUUUGUUGCCAGUUGAGGGAGUCCUGGUUGGAAGGCAAAGGCAAGCCAAGCCCAAGGAAGCCCUACUGGUUGACCAAAGCUAGUCAAGCCCUUUUUGCCAAGACAUGCUCCUGCGCCCACUGCUCUGCUGGCUGCCUAAAGGAAAGCACAGGGUUGAAGCCAAUAAUGACAAGGUGAGCCUGGAGCAUACUGUUGGAACAAAAAGCAAUGAAGAACUCAAAGAAACAGAUGAAGUAAGACAAAACAGAACAACAAUAAACUAUGAGGAAUGUCAAAGCGAUGCAGUAGUCACCAGAAAGAGCCAACUGGAAAAAGGGAACAAUUGGUGAAACAAAGAGAUGAACUUACUUAUUCACUGAG
ensembl:lncRNA